ACCAUUACGCCAGCAUCCUAGCCGAAGCGCGGACCUCAGUCCCGGCUGGCCGUAUUACACCCUGGGCUAUAACACCUCCACCGAAGUGGAGGCCACAUUCCCAGAGCCUUUAUCCGGCCGCCGAAACUGAUGCUGGCCUGUCCAAACUGAGUAAACCGGUCAGAAGACCGGCCGAACAGUUUAAACAAGUCUGAUUGCAAGCGCUUCCCUUUCAACAAUUUCACGUGCUUUUUAACUCUCUUUCCAAAGUGCUUUUCAUCUUUCGAUCACUCUACUUGUGCGCUAUCGGUCUCUCGCCAAUAUUUAGCUUUAGAAGAAAUUUACCUCCCAUUUAGAGCUGCAUUCCCAAACAACUCGACUCGUCGAAGGAGAUUUACAUAGGGUGCCAUUUCCUGUCACAUACGGGAUUCUCACCCUCUAUGACGUCCUGUUCCAAGGAACUUAGACAGGCGGCUUCCCCAAAUCAUCCUCUACAAAUUACAAUGCGAACCCGAAGGCUAGCUU
rnacentral:rRNA from 1 species